rnacentral:rRNA from 1 species
UACGUAGGGUGCGCGCGUUAAUCGGAAUGACUGGGCGUAAAGGGUGCGUAGGCGGUUUGCUAAGACGGAUGUGAAAUCCCUGGGCUCAACCUAGGAACAGCAUACGUGACUGGCAGGCUAGAGUAUCGAAGAGGGGGGUAGAAUUCCACGUGUAGCAGUGAAAUGCGUAGAGAUGUGGAGGAAUACCGAUGGCGAAGGCAGCCCCCUGGGCCAAUACUGACGCUCAUGCACGAAAGCGUGGGGAGCAAACAGG